GACGAACGCUGGCGGCGUGCUUAACACAUGCAAGUGGAGCGACGAACCAGGGCUUGCCCUGGGGCAGAGCCGCGAACGGGUGAGUAACACGUGGGUAACGUGCCCCGAUGACCGGGACAACCCGGGGAAACCCGGGCUAAUACCGGAUGUGCUGUCCCAACAUCAGUUGGGAUUGGAAAGGAGGCUUCGGCCUCCGCCUCGGGAUCGGCCCGCGGCCCAUUAGCUUGUUGGUGAGGUAACGGCUCACCAAGGCUGCGAUGGGUGGCUGGUCUAAGAGGACGAUCAGCCACACUGGGACUGAGACACGGCCCAGACUCCUACGGGAGGCAGCAGUGGGGAAUCUUGCGCAAUGCGCGAAAGCGUGACGCAGCAACGCCGCGUGGGGGAAGAAGGCCUUCGGGUUGUAAACCCCUUUCAGGAGGGACGAAGCGUGGGCGGUUAAUAGCCGGCCCACGUGACGGUACCUCCAGAAGAAGCCCCGGCUAACUACGUGCCAGCCGCCGCGGUAA
rnacentral:rRNA from 1 species